GCAACCUCCCCUUUCCUCAUUUUCCCUUCCCCGCCGCCCCCGUCCCCGCCCCAUCGGCGCAUUCCAGUUCCUCCGUCGCCGGCCACCGGAGAAGGCGCCUUCCUCAGAUCCGCUUCUCCCCUAAAACUUCUCAACUUUGUGUUGCACCCGUCCUCAAUGAUGGUUGUAGAGGAGGGGGCAGGGAAGUAGAUGGCGUGGCCGUCGGCCGGAGACAGAGCAGGGUGCUGCCAACGGGAGAGGCGCCCCUCCCUGCUUCUUGGCGAGCGUGGCCACUUCUUCCAGGCCCGCUACUUCGUCGAGGAUGACGAGAUCAACAUCUACAAGACAUGGCUGUUGGUACGUGGUCGAUGCAAACGCACAAAUCCCAUCCAUUUACAUUUCUCUGGUUUACUUCAGAUUUAUUGCAUACGUUUUGUCUUAUUUUCAUCUCAUGUGGUGAUUCUUUGAUGGGUUCAAACUUCGAAUUUGAGGCAGAGGAGGCUCGUGCAGCGCGUGGGGUGAUGGGAGCGGGAAGAAAAGAAAGAGCGGCGGCGGCAGCGAAUUUCUCCAUCUCACGGGGCCAGCCCUCCUGUCCGCGCCGCAACACCGCUGGUAUCGACGCGGUGAAAUCCUUCUCAGGUGGCAGAGGCUAACAGCCUUGAUAUAUUUGGAGAUUCUAAGUGUGUAGUUUUCUUUGUGCACACCAAUUGUUUGAUGAAUUGCUAGAAGAAAUUGUACGUCUUUUUGUUGUGUGUGUUUGAAGCAGGUAAAGUGUGAUUUAGCCAUGCUUUUUAAAAUCACUCAUGAAAUCUUUUGAAAAUGUGAUGAAGUAGUUCAGUUGACCGAAUGUGGUGGCCUAUCGCCGACCGUGGCGGUGGUGGAUUCCCUAAGGUGGGUAACUGAGGCAGCCACGGAGGGAGGUCACUCUUAGUUCAUCUGCCGGUUUGCUCUGUCUCCUGACGGCAGCCAAUGAGUGCACCAUGAGGCGGCUAGCAGGAGCCCUAAGGUCGAUGGCGCCGGGGAGGAGGCAGACUGGCAGGACGGGUACUGUCGUGCUGACUGGAGCAGCGGCCGGAAUGUGUCUCCGGCAUGAGAGGGUGGGAUGAGGACGAGGCCCUUUCGUUUUGCUAAGCUAAGAUCCACACUUCUGUUUUGUUCUUCCACUGCAAUGUUGAUUCUACUGACCUAAUCCAUAGCUCUGGAUCCAUAUUCCUUGCAGGGGCGUUAUCUCUUGGCGCGGUGGCGCGAGGCUGCAGGAGGCCAGCCCGGGUUUGCUGAGGUGAUCUCCCUGUCCUUGGACGAGGAGGUCGACAAGGACGCGGUGGUGGAACUUGUCGAGGAAGAAGAAGAACCGGCGCAAGGAGAGGAGGAAGAAGCAGCGGAAGGAAGACGCCGCUGACAGUCAGGACAAGCUUCAGGUUGCUGGCACCUAGGAGGGACGGGAUAGCAAGAUCAGUGCUCAUUGAAGAUGGUGUUGAUUCCCCUUACCCGACAACAUAGUUCUGCGGAAGCUUCUUCAUAUACCAAGACACUUCUCCGUAUGUGAUAUACACACACGCACGCAGUGAGCUUUUCUCUGCGGUUCUGGUGACCGGCACAUAGGGUUUCCAUUCCAUGGUGUUGCCGAUGAGCAAGGGAAAGGAAAACAGCAUCAUCCCACGUUCUUACAUUCAGAUUUCUGAGCAGAGAGAUAGUAGUUUGUAAGGUCUCGGUCAAACUGCAGAGCUCUGUUAAUGAUGGGGGAGCACUUGUUGUCAGGGUUGGCUACGGUGGCGGCAAGAUAACAUUCAUGGAACUGGAGCUCACCCGGAGGAGGAAAAUCCGUUAGUUCUUCUCGCGCCCUUCGUCAUCCAUGAUAAAGAUCAUCAAUGCAAAGCCAUCAAGGUUCUUUGUACCAUGGUCUUUGACCCUGUUUCUGAGAUCAGUUUCAGGUAUUAACGUUGUUGAAGAUCAUCCUCAACAACUCCUCGCUACGCCCACUAGCUGUAAGAUACCGUUCCCCGAGUUCUUACUUACUGCUGUAGUUGAUUGGAUUGGAAGAUAUUUGUGUUUUAUCAAAUUCAUAUGGGAUUCUUUUAAGUUUGAGAAAAAAUGAUGCAAGAGAACGAGGAAGGCCCCAACCAGCCGACGGACGUGGCGGCUGCUGCAGCUGUUGGUGCUCUGGGCGCGCAAGGGUAGCUCGAUCCUCCUCCUGGUCUAGACACUGCAGCACAGCCGCGUCAGCCUUGGCGGCUGGCGCAUCACAAAGAGCUACAUGUAGAUGAACUGCAGCGACAAUUCUGGAACUGCAAUACAACGACAUGAUGAAGAGAAGCAUCUGAUAGAUAUAGCAUUAAGAUUGCUUGUUUAUUUGAUGUGUUUGGUUCACUUUUUAUGAAGAGGAGCAUCGUAUGUAAUGCAUCAGCUGUACAUGGAUGUAUGUUAUCAAUCAGAGCUCAAAUUCACUGGAAAGGGUGCCACACUACCUGGCACCGCA